GAUGAACGCUGGCGGCGUGCCUAAUACAUGCAAGUCGAGCGAACGGACGAGAAGCUUGCUUCUCUGAUGUUAGCGGCGGACGGGUGAGUAACACGUGGAUAACCUACCUAUAAGACUGGGAUAACUUCGGGAAACCGGAGCUAAUACCGGAUGAUAUUUUGAACCGCAUGGUUCAAAAGUGAAAGACGGUCUUGCUGUCACUUAUAGAUGGAUCCGCGCUGCAUUAGCUAGUUGGUAAGGUAACGGCUUACCAAGGCAACGAUGCAUAGCCGACCUGAGAGGGGGAUAGGCCACACGGGAACUGAGACACGGUCCAGACUCCUACGGGAGGCAGCAGUAGGGAAUCUUCCGCAAUGGGCGAAAGCCUGACGGAGCAACGCCGCGUGAGUGAUGAAGGUCUUCGGAUCGUAAAACUCUGUUAUUAGGGAAGAACAUAUGUGUAAGUAACUGUGCACAUCUUGACGGUACCUAAUCAGAAAGCCACGGCUAACUACGUG
rnacentral:rRNA from 1 species